UUAAACUUCAAUGUACAAUGUAUAAAAAUGUACUCACUAACACUUUCAGGGACUAGAAAAAAGCAAGUUUUGGCACAUAUCAAAGUAAAACAAUAAGUGUAAAAUACUUUGAACAAAAACAUAUAUCAAUAAUGACAAAAAUUUGCAAUUUAAGGUAAGAAUCUUCAACAAUAAUAUAUAUUUUAUCUACUUUUCUACCUCCAAAGUUUUGAGGGGUUAAACCCCUCUUUUUCAAGCAGUUUCUGUUUAUUUUUAUAAAUCACAUAUUUAUCUUCUUACCUGUCUUAUUUUACACUAUGUUAUGUAUACAGGAAAUGACGUCGUUGACGUCAACAAAUCAAUAUAUAUAAAAAAAUA